GCUUAAGCUGCCUCCUGCCGCGUGAUUCUUAGCCUAUCCCUAUUAACGGAUGCGAAGCAUGGCAGAGGUGCGUCAUCUAAUCAUCAUCAGAAGAAAAUCCAAUCCAACACAAUCCCGGUAAACCUGAUUGCACAGCAGUCGUUGUCCCUAAAGCCUAACGUGGUCUUCACUGGCGUCGGCUCAAGAUGACCACGCAUCACAAGAAGCUCAUCGUGAAGAUGGGCCAGGUUGUUAUCAUCAGCCUGGCCGUCACCGAUAUCCUGCUUCUGUACUUAUACACGUCAUUGAAGAGGUGACCGCAUUUCUGGGUCCGUAGCACUGAAGGACGCGGCGAGUCAUGAAGCGCACGAACUAAAGUGUGUUCAAUUGGAACUGGCGAUGCGAAACAUCAAUGCUUGAACAGCGUCUUGCUGCAACCACUUGAAACUACGCCUUCCCGUGAAAGAUUGCAAAUAUUACUUCAUAUACAGACGACUCGAGUCUGAUUUAUGUUUGCUUCUAUUUUCAAUAUAUUUAAAGGCAGUGUGGAAACUGGA